UGGGGAAUAUUGGACAAUGGGCGAAAGCCUGAUCCAGCAAUGCCGCGUGAGUGAUGAAGGCCUUCGGGUUGUAAAGCUCUGUCGGGAGGGACGAAUGGUGCCGGGUAACUCCGGUAAUUGACGGUACCUCCAAAGGAAGCACCGGCUAACUCUGUGCCAGCAGCCGCGGUAAUACAGAGGGUGCAAGCGUUGUUCGGAAUUACUGGGCGUAAAGCGCGUGUAGGCGGCGUCAUAAGUCGGAUGUGAAAGCCCUCGGCUCAACCGAGGAAGUGCAUCCGAUACUGUGGUGCUUGAGUGUCGGAGGGGGUGGCGGAAUUCCCGGUGUAGAGGUGAAAUUCGUAGAUAUCGGGAGGAACACCUGUGGCGAAGGCGGCCACCUGGACGACAACUGACGCUGAGACGCGAAAGCGUGGGUAGCAAACAGG
rnacentral:rRNA from 1 species